UACAGAGGUCUCAACCGUUGUUCGGAUUUAUUGGGCGUAAAGGGUGUGUAGGCGGUUGCGCAAGUCGGAUGUGAAAUCUCAGGGCUCAACCCUGAAACUGCAUUCGAUACUGCGUGGCUAGAGUGCUGGAGAGGAGACUGGAAUUUACGGUGUAGCAGUGAAAUGCGUAGAUAUCAGGAGGAACAUCAGUGGCGAAGGCGGCUACCUGGCCCAAUACUGACACUCAGGUGCGACAGCGUGGGGAGCAAACAGG
rnacentral:rRNA from 1 species